CCUACGUGAGGCAGCAGUGAGGAAUAUUGGUCAAUGGGCGCGAGCCUGAACCAGCCAAGUAGCGUGAAGGAUGACUGCCCUACGGGUUGUAAACUUCUUUUAUAAAGGAAUAAAGUGAGGCACGUGUGCCUUUUUGUAUGUACUUUAUGAAUAAGGAUCGGCUAACUCCGUGCCAGCAGCCGCGGUAAUACGGCGGAUCCGAGCGUUAUCCGGAUUUAUUGGGUUUAAAGGGAGCGUAGAUGGGUUGUUAAGUCAGUUGUGAAAGUUUGCGGCUCAACCGUAAAAGUGCAAUUGAUACUGGCAGUCUUGAGUACAGUUGAGGUAGGCGGAAUUCGUGGUGUAGCGGUGAAAUGCUUAGAUAUCACGAAGAACUCCGAUUGCGAAGGCAGCUUACUAAACUGCCACUGACAUUGAUGCGCGAAAGUGUGGGUAUCAAACAGGAUUAGAUACCCCAGUAGUC
rnacentral:rRNA from 1 species